rnacentral:rRNA from 1 species
UACGUAGGGGGCGAGCGUUGUUCGGAUUUAUUGGGCGUAAAGCGCACGUAGGCGGAUUUGUAAGUCAGGGGUGAAAUCCCGAGGCUCAACCUCGGAACUGCCUUUGAUACUGCAAAUCUCGAGUCCGGAAGAGGUGAGUGGAAUUCCUAGUGUAGAGGUGAAAUUCGUAGAUAUUAGGAAGAACACCAGUGGCGAAGGCGGCUCACUGGUCCGGUACUGACGCUGAGGUGCGAAAGCUAGGGGAGCGAACAGG